ensembl:lincRNA Gm43067 predicted gene 43067
GGAUUGGGCAAAGGCAGACAGCAAGCAGCAGCAGGUGAUUUUUGCAGGAGUGUUUUUUUAAAGAAGAAAAAGGGGAGUCUGUGCUAGGAUCAAGAUGUAGAACUCUCAGCUCCUUGUCCAGCACCAUGCCUGCCUCCACACUGCCAUGCUUCUGACUGUGAUGAUAAGGGACUAUAAGGGACUGAACCCCUGAAACUCUAUUACAGACCCUGGUCAGGAAGAGUGGCCAUGCUUUUCCAAGGCCAAAAUUAUCAGCUCAACUGGUGUUGUUUCCAGGAACUGCUCCUUCCCCUCACCCUGUCCACACAGAGAGAAAGUGAAAUAGACAAAGGACAAGAGGCCAAGCAGAGAACAUCCCUGGGCUAAUCAGCCAUAGCCAAAAGGUAGGCGUACAGCAGCCAAAGGGCCUUUCAGAGAUGAGAGCCUAUGGGUUGGACUUGUCUGUA